CUUACCUGGGUUUGACAUGGAUCGGGAGUGCUCAGAGAUGGGUGUGCCUCUUUUGGGGUUGGUUCACAGGUGGUGCAUGGCUGUCGUCAGCUCGUGUCGUGAGAUGUUGGGUUAAGUCCCGCAACGAGCGCAACCCUUGUUCACUGUUGCCAGCACGUUAUGGUGGGGACUCAGUGGAGACCGCCGGGGUCAACUCGGAGGAAGGUGGGGAUGACGUCAAGUCAUCAUGCCCCUUAUGUCCAGGGCUUCACGCAUGCUACAAUGGCCGGUACAGAGAGUGGCGAGCCUGUGAGGGUGAGCGAAUCUCGGAAAGCCGGUCUCAGUUCGGAUUGGGGUUUGCAACUCGACCUCAUGAAGUCGGAGUCGCUAGUAAUCGCAGAUCAG
rnacentral:rRNA from 1 species